rnacentral:rRNA from 1 species
GAUCCUGGCUCAGGACGAACGCUGGCGGCGUGCCUAAUACAUGCAAGUAGGACGCACAGUUUAUACCGUAGCUUGCUACACCAUAGACUGUGAGUUGCGAACGGGUGAGUAACGCGUAGGUAACCUGCCUAUUAGAGGGGGAUAACUAUUGGAAACGAUAGCUAAUACCGCAUAACAGUAUGUAACACAUGUUAGAUGCUUGAAAGAUGCAAUUGCAUCGCUAGUAGAUGG